UUGUUAUUGAAGUAUACGUUUGCUGCCUAGAAAAGCCCAGCAGCGAGUUGACAUGGUGCCCGUACCCCAAACCAACACAGGUGGACAGGUAGAGCAUACCAAGGCGAGUGGGAUAACUAUGGUUAAGGAACUCGGCAAAUUGCCUCCGUAACUUCGGGAGAAGGAGGACCCCAGUAGCGUGAUGAGACUUGCUCUCUGAGCGUGAAGGGGUGGCACAAAAUUGAGGGAAGCGACUGUUUACCAAAAACACAGCAGCGUGCUAAGCCGUAAGGCGCUGUAUACGCUGUGACUCCUGCCCGGUGCUGGAAGGUUACGGGGAUGGGUUAGUCCUUCGGGACGAAGCUCUGAACCUAAGCCCCAGUAAACGGCGGCCGUAACUAUAACGGUCCUAAGGUAGCGAAAUUCCUUGUCGGGUAAGUUCCGACCUGCACGAAUGGAGUAACGACUUCCCUACUGUCUCAACCAUAGACCCAGCGAAAUUGAAGUACGAGUAAAGAUGCUCGUUAGCUGCAGAAGGACGGAAAGACCCCGUGGACCUUUACUAUAACUUGAUGUUGUGUUUUGUCAUAUGUUGUGUAGGAUAGGUGGGAGACUUGGAAGCAUGGACGCUAGUCUGUGUGGAGUCAUCGUUGAAAUACCACCCUGCAUAUGGUGAGGCUCUAACCUAGACCCGUUAUCCGGGUUGGGGACAGCGUCAGGCGGGUAGUUUAACUGGGGCGGUUGCCUCCUAAAGAGUAACGGAGGCGCCCAAAGGUUCCCUCAGCCUGGUUGGCAAUCAGGCGUUGAGUGCAAUGGCAAAAGGGAGCUUGACUGCGAGACCUACAAGUCGAGCAGGAGCGAAAGCUGGGCAUAGUGAUCCGGCGGUUGCGUGUGGAAGCGCCGUCGCUCAACGGAUAAAAGGUACCCCGGGGAUAACAGGCUAAUCUUGCCCAAGCGUCCAUAGCGACGGCAAGGUUUGGCACCUCGAUGUCGGCUCAUCGCAUCCUGGGGCUGAAGCAGGUCCCAAGGGUUGGGCUGUUCGCCCAUUAAAGCGGUACGCGAGCUGGGUUCAGAACGUCGUGAGACAGUUCGGUCCCUAUCCUCUGCAGCCGGAGGUGAAUUGAGGAAAGCUGUCCCUAGUACGAGAGGACCGGGACGGACGCAGCUCUCGUGUGCCAGUUGUCCUGCCAAGGGCAUGGCUGGUUAGCGACCUGCGGAAAGGAUAACCGCUGAAAGCAUCUAAGCGGGAAGCCUCUUCCAAGAUGAAUUCACCCACAGGGUUAACCUGGUAAGGCCCGUGGUAGACCACCACGUUGAUAGGCCGGAAGUGUAAGCGUGGCAACACGUUCAGCUGACCGGUACUAAUCGGCCGAGGGCUCGAGUC
rnacentral:rRNA from 1 species